GCCUAUGGCCAUACCAGUCUGAAAGUGUCAAAUCUCUGAAUUCAUGCAGACUUGGGCCUGAUUAGUACUUGUAUGGGAGAUCAACUAAGAACCUCAGGUGCCGUAAGCU